rnacentral:rRNA from 1 species
AUUGAACGCUGGCGGCAGGCCUAACACAUGCAAGUCGAGCGGCAGCGACUUAACUGAACCUUCGGGGAAUGUUAAGGGCGGCGAGCGGCGGACGGGUGAGUAAUGCCUGGGAAUAUGCCCUGAUGUGGGGGAUAACUAUUGGAAACGAUAGCUAAUACCGCAUAAUCUCUUCGGAGCAAAGAGGGGGACCUUCGGGCCUCUCGCGUCAGGAUUAGCCCAGGUGGGAUUAGCUUGUUGGUGAGGUAAUGGCUCACCAAGGCAACGAUCCCUAGCUGGUCUGAGAGGAUGAUCAGCCACGCUGGAACUGAGACACGGUCCAGACUCCUACGGGAGGCAGCAGUGGGGAAUAUUGCACAAUGGGGGAAACCCUGAUGCAGCCAUGCCGCGUGUGUGAAGAAGGCCUUCGGGUUGUAAAGCACUUUCAGUAGGGAGGAAGGUAGUGUAGUUAACACCUGCAUUAUUCGACGUUACCUACAGAAGAAGCACCGGCUAACUCCGUGCCAGCAGCCGCGGUAAUACGGAGGGUGCGAGCGUUAAUCGGAAUUACUGGGCGUAAAGCGCAUGCAGGCGGCCUGUUAAGUCAGAUGUGAAAGCCCGGGGCUUAACCUCGGAAUUGCAUUUGAAACUGGCAGGCUAGAGUCUUGUAGAGGGGGGUAGAAUUUCAGGUGUAGCGGUGAAAUGCGUAGAGAUCUGAAGGAAUACCAGUGGCGAAGCGGCCCCCUGGACAAAGACUGACGCUCAGAUGCGAAAGCGUGGGGAGCAAACAGG